rnacentral:tRNA from 1 species
GCCUCGGUGGCUCAGUCGGUUAAGCAUCUGACUUCAAUUCAGGUCAUGAUCCCACAGUUUGUGGGUUCGAGCCCUGCAUCGGGCU